rnacentral:rRNA from 1 species
AUGCACGCUGGCGGCGUGCCUAAUACAUGCCAGUCGAGCGAACAGACGAGGAGCUUGCUCCUCUGACGUUAGCGGCGGACGGGUGAGUAACACGUGGAUAACCUACCUAUAAGACUGGGAUAACUUCGGGAAACCGGAGCUAAUACCGGAUAAUAUAUUGAACCGCAUGGUUCAAUAGUGAAAGACGGUUUUGCUGUCACUUAUAGAUGGAUCCGCGCCGCAUUAGCUAGUUAGUAAGGUAACGGCUUACCAAGGCAACGAUGCGUAGCCGACCUGAGAGGGUGAUCGGCCACACUGGAACUGAGACACGGUCCAGACUCCUACGGGAGGCAGCAGUAGGGAAUCUUCCGCAAUGGGCGAAAGCCUGACGGAGCAACGCCGCGUGAGUGAUGAAGGUCUUCGGAUCGUAAAACUCUGUUAUUAGGGAAGAACAAAUGUGUAAGUAACUAUGCACGUCUUGACGGUACCUAAUCAGAAAGCCACGGCUAACUACGUG